GGUGACAAAGCAUUUAAAAUGCCUCUCUUUUACACUGAGAAGAUCUGUUGUAGUGUCUCCU
rnacentral:tRNA from 1 species